rnacentral:lncRNA from 1 species
GCUCUCACUCACGCUCACGCUCACGGGUGGGGCCCAGCCGGAGACCACCGCGGGCAGCUGGGCUUCUGCUGCCAUUGGCUGCAGCGGCAGAGGCGAGCUCCAGUGACUCCUUCCUGUCCAGCUCAGAGAUGGCAUGGGGAGCCUGGGGACCCUGUGCCAAAGGGGCCCGAGGCCCAGCAAAGGCCGGAGGUCCCAGUCCAGAAGGGAAGGGCCCCUCCCGGGACCAGGGAGCCGCCUCAGAAGGAGCCCUGGGCCCGAGUCCGAAAGGCAGCUCCCAGGGUCUCCAGGAUUCUGUCCAGAGGGCUCCCGGACCCACCUCUGAGAGAGGAGGGGAGAGGAGCGGAGCCGAGCGGACCCCCGGGGCCCUGCGCUUGCAGGCUUGGGCUUUUGUCCCCAAGAGGCUCUGGGCCUCUCACUGCAGCGAUGGGAAGGAACGGCCCUGGCUUCCACUCAGCCCCGGCUCUCCAGGCCUCAACCCCGUGCUUGCCCCUGCCGCCCAGCCCGGGGGUCGAGUGGAGGCCUGAGGAUGCUGCCUGAAGCUCACCUCUGUUGCACUGAGAGAAACACCCCGCCCUCCCCCUGUCCCGCACGACCACCGCCACCUCAUGCAGCUUGGCCGCCAGGGCCAGGAACGAGGUGCAUCGUGUACUCCUGGGCGCAGGGCCGCGCCUUCUGGUCCCCGACAGUCCCGAUAGGCCACUUGUGGAGUGAGCUCCGGGUUGGCUCGUUCCUGCCCUUUGCCCAGCGCUUAAUUGCCUGGGCUUUGGCCGGGCAGUGGCCGGCGGUGGUGAGGGGGGUGGGGAUGGACGUGGCGGCGCGGGCAAGGCUGGAUUGGUGGGUGUCAGGCAGAGUGGAAGGAGAGGAGGAGAAGGGAAGUCGGGGACGUCGGUCAUGUCUAGGCGCUGGUGUUCUGGGGUGUCAGGCAGAGUGGAAGGAGAGGAGGAGAAGGGAAGUCGGGGACGUCGGUCAUGUCUAGGCGCUGGUGUUCUGGGUGAGUGAGUGCCCUUUGUUCUCUUCCUUCUCCUCUUCCAAAGGGUUCAUUUCAUCACAGGGAAAAGGUCAGUGGUUCUGGUGGUUCAGCAAGCCUCAAGAAGGGGAGACUCC